rnacentral:rRNA from 1 species
GAUGAACGCUGGCGGCGUGCCUAAUACAUGCAAGUCGAGCGAACAGAUAAGGAGCUUGCUCCUUUGACGUUAGCGGCGGACGGGUGAGUAACACGUGGGUAACCUACUUAUAAGACUGGAAUAACUCCGGGAAACCGGGGCUAAUGCCGGAUAACAUUUAGAACCGCAUGGUUCUAAAGUGAAAGAUGGUUUUGCUAUCACUUCUAGAUGGACCCGCGCCGUAUUAGCUAGUUGGUAAGGUAACGGCUUACCACGGCGACGAUACGUAGCCGACCUGAGAGGGUGGUCGGCCACACUGGAGCGGAAACAGGGUCCAUACUCCUACGGGAGGCAGCAGUAUGGAAUCUGCCGCAAUAGGCGGAAACCUGACGGAACGACGCCGCGUGAGUGAUGAAGGUCUUCGGAGCGUAAAACUCGGUUAUUAGUGAAAAACAAAUGUGUAAGUAACUGUGCACGUCUUGACGGUACCUAAUCAGAAAGCCACGGCUAACUACGUG